UCUCAGUUGUUAGCAUUAUACCGUGAAACUGCGAAUGGCUCAUUAAAUCAGUUAUCGUUUAUUUGAUAAUACCUUACUACUUGGAUAACCGUGGUAAUUCUAGAGCUAAUACAUGCUGAAAAUCCCGACUUCGGAAGGGAUGUGUUUAUUAGAUAAAAAACCAAUGCCCUUCGGGGCUCUUUGGUGAUUCAUGAUAACUUUACGGAUCGCAUAGCCUUGCGCUGGCGACGGUUCAUUCAAAUUUCUGCCCUAUCAACUUUCGAUGGUAAGGUAUUGGCUUACCAUGGUUUCAACGGGUAACGGGGAAUUAGGGUUCGAUUCCGGAGAGGGAGCCUGAGAAACGGCUACCACAUCCAAGGAAGGCAGCAGGCGCGCAAAUUACCCAAUCCCGACACGGGGAGGUAGUGACAAUAAAUACUGAUACAGGGCUCUUUUGGGUCUUGUAAUUGGAAUGAGUACAAUUUAAACCUCUUAACGAGGAACAAUUGGAGGGCAAGUCUGGUGCCAGCAGCCGCGGUAAUUCCAGCUCCAAUAGCGUAUAUUAAAGUUGUUGCAGUUAAAAAGCUCGUAGUUGAAACUUGGGUCUGGCUGGCGGGUCCGCCUCACCGCGUGCACUCGUCCGGCCGGACCUUCCUUUUAGCGAACCUCAUGCCCUUCACUGGGCGUGCUGGGGAACUAAGACUUUUACUUUGAAAAAAUUAGAGUGUUCAAAGCAGGCCUUUGCUCGAAUACGUUAGCAUGGAAUAAUAAAAUAGGGCGUGCGUUUCUAUUUUGUUGGUUUCUAGAGACGCCGCAAUGAUUAACAGGAACAGUCGGGGGCAUCAGUAUUCAGUUGUCAGAGGUGAAAUUCUUGGAUUUACUGAAGACUAACUACUGCGAAAGCAUUUGCCAAGGAUGUUUUCAUUAAUCAGUGAACGAAAGUUAGGGGAUCGAAGACGAUCAGAUACCGUCGUAGUCUUAACCGUAACUAUGCCGACAGGGGAUCGGGCGAUGUUCUUUUCUGAUCCCUCGGACCUUACAAAAAAUCAAAGUUUUUGGGGUUCUGGGGGGAUAAGGUCCCAAGCUGA
rnacentral:rRNA from 1 species